CGACGAGGACACAAACUCAACACUGCGGACUCUAAAACUGAAAUAUGCAAAGGCUAUGACGUGGAAGGGUUGUAGGACAAGAAAACGAUAUGACACUGCACUUAUGGGACGAACACAAGAACACUCCAAACUAAGGGUAGAUGUGAACCUAAUGGUAUACCUAAAGCUUUGAUUCCCACAUGAUGAGAACAAGGGUGACCCGAUCUUCUGAAAGGUUCUGGUAACUCUUGAUUUGGUGGAGACGAGACACAAAUCGAUCCGGGUUCCGAACAACACGAUCCGAAACCCUACAAUUUUUUUUAUUUUUUUGAUAUUUUUCUUUUAGUUAGAGCACCAAUGGAGUAACCACAGAAAAUUUGAGCUUAAACCAGUGAAAGACAUGGCCUACGAAAAUUUCUGAAAAUUGUGAAAAAUGUGAAAAAAACAUCACGAGGUGAAAACUCAAACUUCAGUUGUGAAUUUGGAGGUCCUAAAAUUUGCAAACCAGCCAAGGGAGGGGACAGACAGAUCCAAAAUUUUUUUCUGAUCGAUUUUGAUAUAUGGAACAUUGAAAUCGGAGCUCGUAUGCGAAAGUUAUGGCUAUUUUACGAACGGACUCCAAGUUAGAGGACAAAACGGUCCGAAAGUGGGAAAAAUUUGCGGUGGUGGCUAGAAAUUGAUGAAAACGGUGGGGGAAAAUACAUGAACUGGACUCUAACAAGACCUAACCAGCAACAAGACCUCGACAAGGACACAAACUCAACACUGCGGACUCUGAAACUGAAAUAUGCAAAGGCUAUGACGCGGAAGGGUUAUAGGACAAGAAAAUGAUAUGACACAGGACUUAUGGGACGAACCAAGAACACUCAAAACUAAAGGUAGAUGUGAACCUAACGGUAUACCUAAAGCUUUGAUUUCCACAUAUGAGAACAAGGGUGACCCGAUCUUCUGAAGUUCUGGUAACUCUCGAUUUGGUGGAGACGAGACACAAAUCGAUCCGUCUUCCGAACAACACGAUCCGAAACCCUGCAAUUUUUUUUAUUUUUUUUGAUAUUUUUAUUUUAGUUAGAGCACCAAAGGAGUAACCACAGAAAAUUUGAGCUUAAACCAGUGAAAGACAUGGCCUACGAAAAUUUCUGAAAAUUGUGAAAAAUGUGAAAAAAACAUCACGAGGUGAAAACUCAAACUUCAGUUGUGAAUUUGGAGGUCCUAAAAUUUUCAAACCAGCCAUGGGAGGGGACAGACAGAUCUGAAAUUUUUUUCUGAUCGAUUUUGAUAUAUGGAACAUUGAAAUCGGAGCUCGUAUGCGAAAGUUAUGGCUAUUUUACGAACGGACUCCAAAUUAGAGGACAAAACGGUGCGAAAGUGGGCAAAAUUUACGGUGGUGGCUAGAAAUUGAUGGAAACGGUGGGGGAAAAUACAUGAACUGGACUCUAACAAGACCUAACCAGCAACAAGACCUCGACAAGGACACAAACUCAACACUGCGGACUCUGAAACUGAAAUAUGCAAAGGCUAUGACGCGGAAGGGUUGUAGGACAAGAAAACGAUAUGACACUGGACUUAUGGGACGAACACAAGAACACUCGAAACUAAGGGUAGAUUUGAACCUAAUGGUAUAUCUAAAUCUUUGAUUUCCGCAUGAUGAGAACAAGGGUGACCCGAUCUUCUGAAAGGUUCUGGUAACUCUCGAUUGGUGGAGACGAGACACAAAUCGAUCCGGGUUCCGAACAACACGAUCCGAAACCCUACAAUUUUUUUAUUUUUUUGAUAUUUUUCUUUUAGUUAGAGCACCAAUGGAGUAACCACAGAAAAUUUGAGCUUAAACCAGUGAAAAACAUGGCCUACGAAAAUUUCUGAAAAUUGUGAAAAAUGUGAAAAAACAUCACGAGGUGAAAACUCAAACUUCGGAGGUGAAUUUGGAGGUUCUAAAUUUUCAAACCUACCAAUGGAGAGACAAACAGAUCCAAAAUUUUUUCUGAUCGAUUUUGAUAUAUGGAACGUUGUAAACGGAGCUCGUAUGUGAAAGUUAUGGCUAUUUUACGAACGGACUCCAAGUUAGAGGACAAAACGGUCCGAAAGUGGGAAAAAUUUGCGGUGGUGGCUAGAAAUUGAUGGAAACGGUGGGGGAAAAUACAUGAACUGGACUCUAACAAGACCUAACCAGCAACAAGACCUCGACAAGGACACAAACUCAACACUGCGGACUCUGAAACUGAAAUAUGCAAAGGCUAUGACGCGGAAGGGUUGUAGGACAAGAAAACGAUAUGACACAGGACUUAUGGGACGAACCAAGAACACUCGAAACUAAAGGUAGAUGUGAACCUAAUGGUAUACCUAAAGCUUUGAUUCCCACAUGAUGAGAACAAGGGUGACCCGAUCUUCUAAAAGGUUCUGGUAACUCUCGAUUUGGUGGAGACGAGACACAAAUCGAUCCGGCUUCCGAACAACACGAUCCGAAACCCUGCAAUUUUUUUUAUUUUUUUUUGAUAUUUUUCUUUUAGUUAGAGCACCAAAGGAGUAACCACAGAAAAUUUGAGCUUAAACCAGUGAAAGACAUGGCCUACGAAAAUUUCUAAAAAUUGUGAAAAAUGUGAAAAAAACAUCACGAGGUGAAAACUCAAACUUCAGUUGUGAAUUUGGAGGUCCUAAAAUUUUCAAACCAGCCAAGGGAGGGGACAGACAGAUCCGAAAUUUUUUUUUGAUCGAUUUUGAUAUAUGGAACAUUGAAAUUAGAGCUCGUAUGCGAAAGUUAUGGCUAUUUUACGAACGAACUCCAAAUUAGAGGACAAAACGGUGCGAAAGUGGGCAAAAUUUACGGUGGUGGCUAGAAAUUGAUGGAAACGGUGGGAGAAAAUACAUGAACUGGACUCUAACAAGACCUAUCCAGCAACAAGACCUCGACGAGGACACAAACUCAACACUGCGGACUCUAAAACUGAAAUAUGCAAAGGCUAUGGCGUGGAAGGGUUGUAUGACAGAAAAACGAUAUGACACUGGACUUAUGGGACGAACACAAGAACACUCGAAACUAAGGGUAGAUUUGAACCUAAUGGUAUAUCUAAAUCUUUGAUUUCCACAUGAUGAGAACAAGGGUGACCCGAUCUUCUGAAAGGUUCUAGUAACUCUCGAUUUGGUGGAGACGAGACACAAAUCGAUCCGGGUUUCGAACAACACGAUCCGAAACCCUACAAUUUUUUUACUUUUUUGAUAUUUUUCUUUUAGUUAGAGCACCAAUGGAGUAACCACAGAAAAUUUGAGCUUAAACCAGUGAAAAACAUGGCCUACGAAAAUUUCUGAAAAUUGUGAAAAAUGUGAAAAAACAUCACGAGGUGAAAACUCAAACUUCGGAGGUGAAUUUGGAGGUUCUAAAUUUUCAAACCUACCAAUGGAGUGACAAACAGAUCCAAAAUUUUUUUCUAAUCGAUUUUGAUAUAUGGAACGUUGUAAACGGAGCUCGUAUGUGAAAGUUAUGGCUAUUUUACGAACGGACUCCAAGUUAGAGGACAAAACGGUCCGAAAGUGGGAAAAAUUUGCGGUGGUGGCUAGAAAUUGAUGGAAACGGUGGGGGAAAAUACAUGAACUGGACUAUAACAAGACCUAACCAGCAACAAGACCUCGACAAGGACACAAACUCAACACUGCGGACUCUGAAACUGAAAUAUGCAAAGGCUAUGACGCGGAAGGGUUGUAGGACAAGAAAACGAUAUGACACAGGACUUAUGGGACAAACCAAGAACACUCGAAACUAAAGGUAGAUGUGAACCUAACGGUAUACCUAAAGCUUUGAUUUCCACAUAUGAGAACAAGGGUGACUCGAUCUUCUGAAGUUCUGGUAACUCUCGAUUUGGUGGAGACGAGACACAAAUCGAUCCGUCUUCCGAACAACACGAUCCGAAACCCUGCAUUUUUUUUUUGAUAUUUUUCCUUUAGUUAGAGCACCAAAGGAGUGACCACAGAAAAUUUGAGCUUAAACUAGUGAAAGACAUGGUCUACAAAAAUUUCUGAAAAUUAUGUAAAAUGUGAAAAAAAAACAUCACGAGGUGAAAACUCAAACUUCAGAGGUGAAUUUGGAGGUUCUAAAGUUUUCAAACUCGCCAAUGGAGGGGACAGAGAGAUCCGAAAUUUUUUUCUGAUCGAUUUUGAUAUAUUGAACGUUGAAAUCAGAGCUCGUAUGCGAAAGUUAUGGCUAUUUUACAAACAGACUCCAAAUUAGAGGACAAAAUGGUCCGAAAGUGGGAAAAAUUUGCGGCGGUGGCUAGAAAUUGAUGGAAACGGUGGGGGAAAAUACAUGAACUGGACUCUAACAAGACCUAACCAGCAAUAAGACCUCGACGAGGACACAAACUCAACACUGCGGACUCUGAAACUGAAAUAUGCAAAGGCUAUGACGUCGAAGGGUUGUAGGACAAGAAAACGAUAUGACACUGCACUUAUGGGACGAACACAAGAACACUCAAAACUAAGGGUAGAUGUGAACUUAAUGGUAUACCUAAAGCUUUGAUUCCCACAUGAUGAGAACAAGGGUGACCCGAUCUUCUAAAAGGUUCUGGUAACUCUCGAUUUGGUGGAGACGAGACACAAAUCGAUCCGGCUUCCGAACAACACGAUCCGAAACCCUGCAAUUUUUUUUAUUUUUUUGAUAUUUUUAUUUUAGUUAGAGCACCAAAGGAGUGACCACAUAAAAUUUGAGCUUAAACCAGUGAAAGACAUGGCCUACGAAAAUUUCUGAAAAUUGUGAAAAAUGUGAAAAAAACAUCAUGAGGUGAAAACUCAAACUUCAGUUGUGAAUUUGGAGGUCCUAAAAUUUGCAAACCAGCCAAGGGAGGGGACAGACAGAUCCGAAAUUUUUUUCUGAUCGAUUUUGAUAUAUGGAACAUUGAAAUCGGAGCUCGUAUGCGAAAGUUAUGGCUAUUUUACGAACGGACUCCAAAUUAGAGGACAAAACGGUGCGAAAGUGGGCAAAAUUUACGGUGGUGGCUAGAAAUUGAUGGAAACGGUGGGGGAAAUUACAUGAACUGAACUCUAACAAGACCUAACCAGCAACAAGACCUCGACGAGGACACAAACUCAACACUGCGGACUCUAAAACUGAAAUAUGCAAAGGCUAUGGCGUGGAAGGGUUGUAGGACAGAAAAACGAUAUGACACUGGACUUAUGGGACGGACACAAGAACACUCGAAACUAAGGGUAGAUUUGAACCUAAUGGUAUAUCUAAAUCUUUGAUUUCCACAUGAUGAGAAAAAGGGUGACCCGAUCUUCUGAAAGGUUCUGGUAACUCUUGAUUUGGUGGAGACGAGACACAAAUCGAUCCGGGUUCCGAACAACACGAUCCGAAACCCUACAAUUUUUUUUUAUUUUUUUGAUAUUUUUCUUUUAGUUAGAGCACCAAUGGAGUAACCACAGAAAAUUUGAGCUUAAACCAGUGAAAAACAUGGCCUACGAAAAUUUCUGAAAAUUGUGAAAAAUGUGAAAAACAUCACGAGGUGAAAACUCAAACUUCGGAGGUGAAUUUGGAGGUUCUAAAUUUUCAAACCUACCAAUGGAGUGACAAACAGAUCCAAAAUUUUUUCUGAUCGAUUUUGAUAUAUGGAACGUUGUAAACGGAGCUCGUAUGUGAAAGUUAUGGCUAUUUUACGAACGGACUCCAAGUUAGAGGACAAAACGGUC
rnacentral:lncRNA from 1 species